CAUACAAGAUAGUGGGCUAGGCACCAGGAAUACAACAGGGAACACACUAGACAUGGCUCUGCCCUCACGGGGCUUUACUAAUACCACAGUUCAGUAGAUGAUGAUAUCCUUACUGGACCAGACACACAACCAACUUCAUUUACUCCAGAAUUGGGCUCCACAGUUGCAGCUGUCCUGGGAAGCACAUAGGCUCAGAUUCCAUACCCUGAGUGGUAAGGUCUUGAGCAUUUUGUCUCUUAAUCACUCACUGAAGUAGAAAGAAUCCACCUCCAUGCCCAAGCACUGAGUCCCUGGUGUCAAGCCCGAGUGACCAACUGAGAAUGCACUUGCCCUUCAGAUAUCAUCAGAGAGUAUUAAAAGAAAGAGGAGGAGAAGAAGGAAUUGGAUGAGGAGGAGGAGAAGGAGAAAAGGAAGGAGAAAAAAGAGGAAGAAGAAAAGGAGGAAAAGAGACAAUAAUAAAAACCAAGUGAACCCAACAAAACCAAUUCAUCCUCACAGCCCAUCUCAAACACAUCCUUAAGAAACAUUGAGAAGCUCAUUAAUGAAGUCACUGUAGAGGAGUCUGAACAAGAAAACUGCUGUCUCAGGCAUCAAAAACUACAAUGACCAUUUAUAAGAUCUCUGACACCUGCUUAUCCCAAAGAAACAUCCCUGAAAAUCCUGUUACCAAUACCUUCCCUGGAUAACCUCCAGAAUCUCUUAUACACCCAC